GUGCUCACUGCAGCAGCGCAUAAUUGGAACGAUUCAGAGAUUAGCAUGGCUCCUGCACAAGGAUGACACACAAAUUUGUGAAGUAGUCCAUAUUUAA
rnacentral:snRNA from 1 species